CCCACUUCCUCCCUCUCUUUCCCCAUAAUAAAGAUACCAUUUUCAACUCAUUAUUCCCUUAAGUUCCCUCUAGUUUAAUCUACUCAAGGCUGUUUUUUUUUUUUGGUUUAUUGAGAUGGGUUUUUGGAAUUGGAAGUGUUUGUUUCUGGGUUUUCUUCUAAUGUGUGUUUCUUUUAAAAAUGGAGUUACUGUGGAAGCUAGUAGUAGGCCCUUUUCAAUCUUCCCAAUACUCAAGCUUCAAAAAGAUUUUAAGGGAUAUUAUAAUUCAGAGAUUUUUGCAACAAUGGGAAUUGAAUGCAAGUGUUGUGAUGGGAUUGGAGGUAAAUGCUCUACUGAGUUUGCUACUUCUUGCUCUAAUCUCCAUUGUUCCCCUUGGAAACAAUAUUAAAUCCAAUCUCUCUUUCAUUUCUAGCAAUUCUCUCUUUAUUUUUCUUGUAAAAUACAUAAGAGAUAAUAAUAUAGAGUAGGAGUAUUUGGAGAUGAACUAUGUCUAUGAUAUUAUAUACAAUACAUGAAGUCAUUUUCUAUGGUCCA